rnacentral:rRNA from 1 species
UACGAAGGGGGCUAGCGUUGCUCGGAAUCACUGGGCGUAAAGGGUGCGUAGGCGGGUCUUUAAGUCAGGGGUGAAAUCCUGGAGCUCAACUCCAGAACUGCCUUUGAUACUGAGGAUCUUGAGUUCGGGAGAGGUGAGUGGAACUGCGAGUGUAGAGGUGAAAUUCGUAGAUAUUCGCAAGAACACCAGUGGCGAAGGCGGCUCACUGGCCCGGUACUGACGCUGAGGCACGAAAGCGUGGGGAGCAAACGGG